rnacentral:rRNA from 1 species
CCUACGGGAGGCAGCAGUGGGGAAUUUUGGACAAUGGGCGCAAGCCUGAUCCAGCCAUGCCGCGUGUGGGAAGAAGGCCUUCGGGUUGUAAACCACUUUUGUCAGGGAAGAAACGGUCUGAACUAAUACUUUGGACUAAUGACGGUACCUGAAGAAUAAGCACCGGCUAACUACGUGCCAGCAGCCGCGGUAAUACGUAGGGUGCAAGCGUUAAUCGGAAUUACUGGGCGUAAAGCGUGCGCAGGCGGCUUUGCAAGACAGAUGUGAAAUCCCCGGGCUCAACCUGGGAACUGCAUUUGUGACUGCAUGGCUAGAGUACGGUAGAGGGGGAUGGAAUUCCGCGUGUAGCAGUGAAAUGCGUAGAUAUGCGGAGGAACACCGAUGGCGAAGGCAAUCCCCUGGACCUGUACUGACGCUCAUGCACGAAAGCGUGGGGAGCAAACAGGAUUAGAUACCCUGGUAGUCCACGCCCUAAACGAUGUCAACUGGUUGUUGGGAGGGUUUCUUCUCAGUAACGAAGCUAACGCGUGAAGUUGACCGCCUGGGGAGUACGGCGCAAGGUUGAAACUCAAAUGAAUUGACGGCUGAGACGNGCGAGACGACGACGAGGGAGGAGG